rnacentral:rRNA from 1 species
UGGGGAAUUUUGGACAAUGGGCGCAAGCCUGAUCCAGCAAUGCCGCGUGUGUGAAGAAGGCCUUCGGGUUGUAAAGCACUUUUGUCCGGGAAGAAAUCCCUGGUCCUAAUAUGGCCGGGGGAUGACGGUACUGGAAGAAUAAGCACCGGCUAACUACGUGCCAGCAGCCGCGGUAAUACGUAGGGUGCGAGCGUUAAUCGGAAUUACUGGGCGUAAAGCGUGCGCAGGCGGUGAUGUAAGACCGAUGUGAAAUCCCCGGGCUUAACCUGGGAACUGCAUUGGUGACUGCAUCGCUCGAGUAUGGCAGAGGGGGGUAGAAUUCCACGUGUAGCAGUGAAAUGCGUAGAGAUGUGGAGGAAUACCGAUGGCGAAGGCAGCCCCCUGGGUCAAUACUGACGCUCAUGCACGAAAGCGUGGGGAGCAAACAGGAUUAGAUACCCUGGUAGUCCACGCCCUAAACGAUGUCAACUGGUUGUCGGGCCUUCAUUGGCUUGGUAACGUAGCUAACGCGUGAAGUUGACCGCCUGGGGAGUACGGUCGCAAGAUUA